rnacentral:misc_RNA from 1 species
AUGAGAACUUGCCCUCCGGGGUAGACCUCCCACCCUAUGUUAUAUUACCCUGUUGCUUUGGCGGGCCGUCAGGCUUCGGCCAGGCUAUCGGCUCCGGCUGGUAAGCGCCCGCCAGAGAACCCCAAACUCUGAAUGUUAGUGUCGUCUGAGUACUAUCUAAUAGUUA